UACGUAGGGUGCAAGCGUUAAUCGGAAUUACUGGGCGUAAAGCGUGCGCAGGCGGUUAUGUAAGACAGUUGUGAAAUCCCCGGGCUCAACCUGGGAACUGCAUCUGUGACUGCAUAGCUAGAGUACGGUAGAGGGGGAUGGAAUUCCACGUGUAGCAGUGAAAUGCGUAGAGAUGUGGAGGAACACCGAUGGCGAAGGCAGCCCCCUGGGCUAACACUGACGCUCAUGCACGAAAGCGUGGGGAGCAAACAGG
rnacentral:rRNA from 1 species